rnacentral:lncRNA from 1 species
CCUGCUGCCUGCUGGGCACCUGCUGGUGCAAGAGCUGCCUCAGCGUGUGCGUCCUGGCGGCCCUGUGCUUCGCCUCGCUGGCCCUGGUGCGCCAGUACCUGCGCGACCUGCUCCUGUGGGCGGAGAGCCUGGACAGCCUGGCCGGCGUGCUGCUCUUCACCGUGGGCUUCAUCGUCGUGUCCUUCCCCUGCGGCUGGGGCUACAUCCUGCUCAACGUGGCCGCCGGCUACCUCUACGGCUUCGUGCUGGGCAUGGGGCUGAUGGUGCUGGGCGUCCUCGUCGGCACCUUCGUGGCGCACGUGGCCUGCCGGCGGCUGCUGGCCCGCUGGGCGCUGGGCAGGAUCGACGCUCAGCGCCGUCGUCCGCGUGGUGGAGGGCGGCAGCGGGCUCAAGGUGGUGGCCCUGGCGCGCCUGACGCCCAUCCCCUUCGGGCUGCAGAACGCCGUCUUCGCGGUUACAGAUCUCUCAUUGCCCAACUACCUGAUGGCUUCUUCAGUUGGGCUGCUUCCUACUCAGCUCCUGAACUCAUACUUGGGAACUACCUUGCGCACCAUGGAGGACGUGAUCGCAGAACAAAGUGUUAGUGGCUAUUUUAUAUUCAGUUUACAGAUUGUUAUAAGCAUAGGACUUAUGUUUUAUGUUGUUCACCGAGCUCAAGUGGAACUGAAUGCAGCUAUUGUAGCGUGUGAGAUGGAGAUGAAGACAUCUCUUGUUAAAGACUGCCAGCCAAGCAUCAGCGGUUCAACGACAUACUGCAACAAAAGGACAGUAGCGUUCUCUGGGGGAGGUGUCAAUAUUGUGUGAUUUCAAGUAUUAAUAAAAUAAGGUUUUUGUGAACCUAAGCUAUUGCC